UCCGUGGGUGGAUAAUUAAGUCAGAGGUGAAAUCCUGCAGCUCAACUGUAGAAUUGCCUUUGAUACUGGUUAUCUUGAGUCAUUAUGAAGUGGUUAGAAUGUGUAGUGUAGCGGUGAAAUGCAUAGAUAUUACACAGAAUACCGAUUGCGAAGGCAGAUCACUAAUAAUGUACUGACACUGAGGGACGAAAGCGUAGGGAGCGAACAGGAUUAGAUACCCUGGUAGUCC
rnacentral:rRNA from 1 species